CGUCAGUCUUUGUCCAGGGGGCCGCCUUCGCCACCGGUAUUCCUCCAGAUCUCUACGCAUUUCACCGCUACACCUGGAAUUCUACCCCCCUCUACAAGACUCUAGCCUGCCAGUUUCGAAUGCAGUUCCCAGGUUGAGCCCGGGGAUUUCACAUCCGACUUGACAGACCGCCUGCGUGCGCUUUACGCCCAGUAAUUCCGAUUAACGCUUGCACCCUCCGUAUUACCGCGGCUGCUGGCACGGAGUUAGCCGGUGCUUCUUCUGCGGGUAACGUCAAUUGCUGAGGUUAUUAACCUCAACACCUUCCUCCCCGCUGAAAGUACUUUACAACCCGAAGGCCUUCUUCAUACACGCGGCAUGGCUGCAUCAGGCUUGCGCCCAUUGUGCAAUAUUCCCCACUGCUGCCUCCCGUAGGAGUCUGGACCGUGUCUCAGUUCCAGUGUGGCUGGUCAUCCUCUCAGAUCAGCUAGGGAUCGUCGCCUAGGUGAGCCGUUACCCCACCUACUAGCUAAUCCCAUCUGGGCACAUCUGAUGGCAAGAGGCCCGAAGGUCCCCCUCUUUGGUCUUGCGACGUUAUGCGGUAUUAGCUACCGUUUCCAGUAGUUAUCCCCCUCCAUCAGGCAGUUUCCCAGACAUUACUCACCCGUCCGCCGCUCGCCGGCAAA
rnacentral:rRNA from 1 species